UUUAUUUGACCUUAAACAAAGGGAGGUAAUGGGCUAGGUAAUGGCAUUGUGGGUAAAGUGUUUAUUGCUCCAAUCUGUAAACCUAGGUUUGUAUCCCUAGCAGCCACAUAAAGGCUGGGGACAUCGUAGCACAAGUGUCUGUAACAGUCACAUAUCUAUAGGAGGUGAGAGGUGGAGCCAGGCGUCUCCAGAAACACUUGAGCCAGCUCUGACACCCACAUAUAUGCCAUGGCACAAACAGACCAUUAUUCUAUUAUUUACAUGCCAAUGUGCAUGCACGCGCAUGUGCACAAACGUGUGUACACACACACACAUACCACUCUAAUAGAAAGGUCAUUAUAAAGAAGUUUCUCUCCCUCCUUCCCUUCUUCCCUUCCCCUCUCUAUCAGUGUUUACCAUGUAGUUGAGGUUGGCCAGGUUAUGCAGAUUAGAGUAGCCUUGAAUUCAGAAUUCUCCUGAAAAAGGGGUCCUGUAUAUUAAGAUUUAUAGGCAUGUGUUACCAUACCUUGCUGAAGAAUUUAUUUUUUAUUGCCUUUUAAAAAACUUUUAAUAUUCAGUUCAUCUCUCAGAAAUCUUUAUAUGACUGAGAAGAUGUAAAAUUUGUCUAUUGCCCCCUCUACCUACCAUUCUGUCAUCUAUCUAUUAAUUGAUAGGAUUAUCUAUCAUCUAUCUAUCAAUCCAUAACCUACCCAUCCAUCACCUACCUAUCUUUUCAAGUUGGAGAAACAGAUGACAGGAGAGUGGAUGGCCAGCAACAGGAAUGGAAGAUGGGGAAUCACAUGCAACGAAGCUGGGAGUCACAUGGACCAUCCAGACCUUAAAAAAGAAAAAGGUUGAUUUUCAGUGCUAAAGUCUUGAAAGGGGCCUGAUGGCUCAUGGUGUUGGUGUGUUCCUCCUGAUUGUAGAUGACAUUUCGCGUUUGGCAUAAGCUGUCUAGAUGUGCUAGCUCUUUGUACGUAUUUCACAGGAAAGUGUCCUCCACUUUCAACAGAACAGAAUAGCUCUUGGCACUGGAGGCCCUGGUCUGGGGAUGGCUGAGGGACCUACCUGAGGAUGUGCAGGGUGUCAUUUGGUGCACCGACAUUCUGACCAAGGAAGGAGGUGGACUAGGGCUUCUGUAGUCUUCUCCUCACUCACUGUGCAGGUGAAUCUCAGACCGUGAGCUCGGGAGCUGCCUCUCCAGUCCUCAUUCCUGUGGAUGACAGAUGUAUGGGUCUAUAAUGUUCCUAUUUUCAAUAAUUUCUCAUCCUGCCAGUUGCUAGUCGCAUGUUACAUCUUCUGCAAAAAUAAAUCCCUAAAUAAGUCAGGGUGCUGAUAAGACAGCUCCGAGGGGGGGAGGGGCUGAGGGAUUCCAAGAAGAGAGCCACAUGAAAGGCAUAGAACAGCUCCUGCUAUACAGCGAGUGCUCAAAAAAUGCUCACAACUGUUAUUGUUGCGAUUAAUAACUGUGAGGAUUUAUAAUUUUUCAUUUUCUAUGUUAAGCUCCUCCAUGCAUCAUUAUUAUUCUAACUUCAAGCAACUUUUAUAGAAAUAGUCUGGUCAUAAGUCAAGCUAUUUAUAUGUGCCAUGAUUACUAAAAAAGAUUUAUUUUUAUUUUUUGUGUAUCAGUGUCUUACCUGUGUGUAUGUAAGUGUACCACAUGUGUGUAGUACCCCUGGAAGCCAGAAACGGGCAUCAGAUCCCUUAGAACUGGAGUUAUAGCAGCUAUGAGCUUCCAUAUGGGUGGUAGAAUUCAAACCCAAGUUUUCUGGAAGAACAGCCAGUGUCUUUAACCAUUGAAACAUCUCUCUAGCCCUGAGGUUUUUUACCCCUUUAUCUACUGAUGGACAACAAAGUUGCUGCCGUGUCCUGGCUACCAUUAGUCACUCUGCAGUGAGCCUGGGAACACAGGAAUCUCAUUCAAACUCUGGUGUACCUUGAUGCGUGUCUGCACAGAAGGGAUUGCGUGACAGACUGAUGUGAAAUCAAUCACUGAAAAGAUAGGAAGCCAUUGGGACUGGAAUUGAGACCAUUUCCCCCUGUUCUUAUCCCAAACUAUAAGCAGAGAAUGAAGCAGGUGAUGAGGAAGAGGUGGUCACUUAUGUUGUCGACCUUUUAUAGAAGAAUGUGGUGUUGGUAUGCUAGAAAACACUCAAAGUUCAUUCUUUCAAAAAUGACUUUUUAGGGAUCAGAGAGAUAGCUCAGUGGUUCUUGCAGAGGACCAGAGUUUGGAACCCAACACCAACAUGGUAACUCACAACCACUCUAACUCCAGGUUCAGGGGACCGGACUCCCUCUUCUAAUUGCUGUGAGCACCAGGCACACAUGUAGUGUACAGACAUACAUGCAGGCCAAACACUCACACACAUAUAAAAUGAAUUUUUAAAAAGAAUUUUUAUUUUUUCCCCAUAUAGUCUUCCAAGAAGGUUUUGUUUUUUAUUAUUUUUUUGCUUUAUCAAAUGGGGUUUCUCCUUCUGCUGUCCAUCAAACACAACAGUGAGGAUAAGAUGAUUUUUGAGUGGAGGGUGAAGUGACUGCAAUGGCUUUCUCUCUGGCUUUGGACAGAGUGACAACCCCAUCUUUUUGUCUUGACCCCAGGCUUAGAAGCUGCCAGGAGAAGAGAGUAGAACACUGGUAAAUUUCUGUGAAGAGCAAAAUCAAGGAAAGUGGGUGUCUUAGUUGCUUGCCUAUUGCUGUGACAAAACACCAUGCUCCAGGCAACUUAUAGAAAAAAAAAAACAUUUAAUUUGGGGUCAUAGUUCUACAGUGGGAGUCUCUGACUUUCAUGGUGAAGAACAUGGAGGCAGGCAGGCGCAGCUCUGGGUCAGUAGCUCAGAGCUUACAUCUGACCCACAAGUAUGAAGCAGAGAUAACAAUAACCUCAAAACCCAUGCCCAGUGCCAUGCCUCCUCUGACAAGGCCACACCUCCUAAUCCUUCCCAAGCAGUUCCACCAACUGUAGCCCAAGCAUUCAAAUGUAUGAGCCUGUGAGGGCCUUUCUCACUCAGACCACCAUGGUGAGUUCCAGCAUGAGAGAACACAUAGAGAAGAGGAGGAGAGGGUGUUGAGAGCAGGAGGAGGCUGUGCUGUGAUGGGGAAAGCGAUGUCAUAGCAACGACACAGAAAAGAAAGAACCAGAGUAGUGCAGUGGAGAUGUGGCUAGCUGCUCAGAGAGUUGGUUAGCCAUGUGGGCAAGAAACUGCUCCUGCCUGAACUGCUUGACUAGAUCUGUGGGACCACAGAGAAAUGACUGCUGAAGGUGAGCCAGUCCUUCAUGGUUCCUGCUUCAUGAAAGAGUCUGCCAGACAUUCAGCAGGACACAGAAGAAAGUGACUGAUGGACUUAGCCAUUACAAGGCAGAACACAUCUUCAAAUUUCCUGCUUCAUGGAAAAGUCUGCCAGAUACUAUGGGCCUGUGGGCUGAAGAUUGGAUGCCCCAAUGAUACAGAAGAACUUUGGGUGACUGUUCAAGCAGCAAGAUGUCUCUGUCAAUUCUACGGUUUUGGCACUCGCUUAUACUGCACUUCCUAUUAGCUCAGUGCUACCUGGACCACAGUCUCCUUUACAAAAUAAAUGAGCAGGUUGAGCUCUUUGGAACCUGCUUCCUGUGCCUACCAAUGCUUUUCCUUGGUGUGCUAUGUUUUGUCUACUUUGUACCUAGAAUCGUGGCUGGGACAGUCAUGAGUUUGCUCUGUGUAAAGGAGAGGCGAGCAGAACAUUGAGCAAUCAGCUAACGAAUCCCGCUGAGAUGGUUGCUGGAGCCAACCAUGGAUUGAGAGUUGAGUUCAGACAGUCAAGAGAGGCAGAAUCAGCAUCCGUUCCCACCUGAGACUCCUGCCUGGGAGAGCAGCUGAUGAACAGUUUGUCUCUGUGUGCCUGUCCUCAGCACCGUUAAAGGAAGGUGAUCAAGAAUGUUUCAGGGAAGACUGAAUUCUGGCCCAUCAUUGCUUGUCUUCUGUGAGUUCCGAACUCCAACCUCAUGGCUGGUGCUGCAGGACCAGUUUCUUCCUCAUAUCUGUGAGGGUUAUAUAUGUGGGAGUCUGACGGGAACAGAAAGUUUUGAGGGAGUUCACUGCCGAUGCAAGGUAACUGGCUGGAUAAAGAAGUCCAAAGUUAUUUUUUUAUCUGUAGAACAAAUAAAGCCUGGCCAAAGAGUAAGGGCCAAGAUGAUGACAGCUGCCGCUGUGGCUAGGCACUGGGCCAUUAAACUGUUAUGCAAGAAAUAGACAUGGCCUAUGGGAAGCAGGCGUGAGAUGACCCCCGUCUCUGGUCAAGAAUGACAGCAACAGUUGGGACUUCUGCAGAAAACACCAACUAAACAACACCCCCGAGUCCCUUCCAAGCCCAAGAGGCAACAGGAUAUAAAAUGCAUUAGAUUAAGCUAAAGACGCCAAGAAACCUGCCCUUGGAAGAUGUGUUAUUGGGAAAUUUUUAAGAUCAAAACUUACUAACUAAUCUAUCUCUCGAAAAGUAAUAUUUUGUGUCCAGAAUGUAUUUAUAGAAAUAAAACAGAAUUAACCCAGGUUAAAAACA